GCCCUUGUCAGUAUUACAGACCCAAGAACGAGUUCUCAGUGGCUCUAAGUGACAGAAGGAAUGGACAAAUCCUUGAGUUUGCUCAUCCUUUGGUUACAACUGGACUGGGUGAGCAGUAAACAGGAGGUGAUGCAGAGUCCGGAAGCUCUGAAUGUCCAAGAGGGAGACAGCGUGGUUCUCAACUGCAGUUACACUGGUAGCACUUUUUAUUCCCUUCAGUGGUUUAGGCAGGACCCUGGCAAAGGACUCACAGUUCUGUUGUUGAUUCAGUCAGCUCAGAGAGAAGAAACAAGUGGAAGAAUUAAAGCCUCGCUGGAUAAACCGUCAAAACACAGUGCUUUACACAUUGCAGCUUCUCAGCCCAGCGACUCGGCCACCUACCUCUGUGCUAUAAGAGACACAGUGCACAACAGGCUCCUGGCACCAAUACCCAAACUCUGCAGCUGGGGCUCCACCCACGUGCCCUAUCUUGAAGCUGAGGAAUCUUUCUCCAUCGAGGGGCUUUCUAAAUUGACUCUUUUCCCAGAUAGAAGCAAUUAACUAUGCAAAACCUGAUCUAUAUAUGUACACACACAUAUGUAUGUGUAUAUAUGCACAUCUAUGAGUAUGUAUACAUAUAUAUGCGCAUAUACGUAUCUUCACAUAUGUAUCUGAAGUUACAUUUGAUCUUUAGAUUUUUAUCAACUUCAACUUCAAUAAUAGCUUUGUUGAGAUUAAUUCACAGGCCAAACAAUUCAUUCUUUUAAAAUGAA